GAGCUGGAGUUCUACAAAGCCCAGGCCAGCACCCUCUGCCUCCCUAAAAGGCAACUCUGGGGAUUCCCUGGCCUUGUUGUCAACCCGCACCCCUUCCGCGGUGGAGACGUGCCCUGGGGCCUCUCCUUGGGUUCGCAGGGCCCCUCCCUCUGGCUCCGCCUCCAGGUAGGCUCCCGGGGCGCCUCUCCGCCGCCAGCUCCCUCGCCCUCCCUCCCGGCGCCGCUCCGGGAGCCCUCUUCCUCUGGCCAGGUGAGUUUCACACCUGGGGAGGGCAGGGCAGGGGCCCCUUCGGCGCUGGGUCUCUCCAGCUGCUGGUCACUGGCCUGCCUUCCUUUGUCGCAAGAGAAGAAAGCCCCGCCGGCCGCUCUCCCGCCUUCUCUUCUCAGUGACUCCCAUAUGAGUUCAGCAAGGACAAUGGAGACCAAAUUACAGGAACCCGAAGGAUUUGGCGAGGAAUAUUCAGGUAAAAAGGGAAAUUGUUUUAAUUUAGUGUUUCCUGUCUCUGUUCCUUUUUAUGCUUAACAUGUUCAGAUGCCACUACUAUAAGAUCUUACUUAUGGGAAAAUUAGACAUACUGUAAGGGGUGUAAUUCUAAGAAUAUUGAUGGAGUUUAGAUACAGCAGCUUUCCCUUCUUAGAUGUAUGAUUUAAAACUGUGAACAUAUAUAUGGAUUUGAAUGUGGAUUAGUAUUACCAACUUUAUAUUUCUGAUUCAUUCCUCAUUCUGUCUAUUAGAAAGGCAGUUUUUGUUAAGAGUAAGAAUAAGAGCAAGAAAAUUAGUCCUUUUAAGAAUUAGAAACUUUAGUUAUCUUGUAAUUUCAUGGAACAUUAGAUAUAAAAGAAGCUCUUAGUAAAUCUGUCUGCCAAGGAACAAAUUUCUCCAUGCCCAAAGUUUGACUAAUGCAAAUUUUCAUCGGAAUAAAUGUUGCAUGUUGGUUGCAAUCAAACUAUAAUGGUGAUCAGUUGCAACAAUCACACUUGGCUCAAAUAGACGAAGAGUUCUUUCUCCCACCCUGGACUUUCCACAGAUAUAUAAACCUCACUUUAGUAUAUCACAUAUAGAAGUGGGCCUCCUCACUCCUGCAAAGCUAUAGUGAGUAAGAGGGGGGAGUAAUGGAGGAUAAGAUUGCAGGCUAGAUCUACACUGCCAAAUAAUGCCAUUUCAGAAUGAACCAACUGGACACAGAAUAUUAUUUGAGAACACAGAAAUGCUGGACCACUCUAACACCACCAUGUCAGACUACGCAGAGGAGCCAUUGAAAUCCACAAGCAUGUGGACAAUU
rnacentral:lncRNA from 1 species